AUUUCUUUUAAAGUUCAAAUAAAUAUAUAAAUAAUAGAGAGGAAAAAGAGAAGGGAAUAAAAUUGAGCAUCGAGAAAUGGAGGAAACGGAGAAAGAAUCGAUAAGAGCAGCUUCUAAAGAGGUUUCUCAUCAGUUCAAAACCCUAAUCGAUGCCGAUGAUUUGGACUCUCUUAAGCAUUUGCAGCUCCUCAUAUUGGGAAGAUUGCAGGACAGCAAUGCGGUCUUAUCUCAUUUUAAUGAGUAUUCAGAACAUUGCUUUGCUGAGGUUUCUGGUGACUUUUCGAGAAAUACACGCCUCUUAAAGUCUAUGAAGUCAGACCUUGAUUAUAUUUUUCAAAAGCUUAGGAGUAUGAAGGCAAAGAUUAUGGCUACCUAUCCAGAUGCAUUUUCGGAUGAAUCAACAAAGGAAGUAUUUGACCAAAGACCAGACCUAGAAGUGCCUCAAUAGCUUUAUUAUUGGUCAAAAAUGCCACAUCACUUUGACUCUAACAGUGUUAGUCCCUGGGAUAACUUGCCUUAUGGAACUGAAGUUCAGGCGCUCAACGCCAGCAAACCUUCCCCUCAUGGUUCGAGUAACAUUCAUACCAGAACAGUGGUUGCCUUUGUAUCGUAUUUGUCGAGUAUAUAUAGAACACAAAAUAGCCUUGCUACAAUAUUCUUGUCUGUAGAAAUCAAUUAAAGAAGGAAGAGGAUCAUGGAAGGAAGGAGAGGGAGCGAGAGUGAGAAAGAGAAAGGCAAAAAAGUUGAUGGGCUUCAGAGGCUUGGAAGUGUCAUUAUAAUAACUCUAAUCGACUUGGUUGACAAGAUCCAUGCAGCAAUUACUUAAGAUGACAUCUUCGGUAUAGGUCAGCCAAUGAGUGGAUCUUUUGUUUCCCUUCUUUGCUCUUUGAGAUGAUUAACCCUCCAUCUAAAUGUUAACUAAAUGUAAUAAUAAAAGAAAAAUAUAAUAACAAAGAGAAUAGAUGGAGGGUUGAUCAUCUCAAAAAGAGGGGAUAUAAUACCUUUAGUGGAUUUAUUGAAUAUGAAAAUGGAAGAUUCUUUGAGCUGUUAAUAGAUUACGUUAUUUAAU